rnacentral:rRNA from 1 species
UAGCGGCGGACGGGUGAGUACACGUGGGUAACCUACCUAUAAGACUGGGAUAACUUCGGGAAACCGGAGCUAAUACCGGAUAACAUUUAGAACCGCAUGGUUCUAAAGUGAAAGAUGGUUUUGCUAUCACUUAUAGAUGGACCCGCGCCGUAUUAGCUAGUUGGUAAGGUAACGGCUUACCAAGGCGACGAUACGUAGCCGACCUGAGAGGGUGAUCGGCCACACUGGAACUGAGACACGGUCCAGACUCCUACGGGAGGCAGCAGUAGGGAAUCUUCCGCAAUGGGCGAAAGCCUGACGGAGCAACGCCGCGUGAGUGAUGAAGGGUUUCGGCUCGUAAAACUCUGUUAUUAGGGAAGAACAAAUGUGUAAGUAACUGUGCACAUCUUGACGGUACCUAAUCAGAAAGCCACGGCUA